rnacentral:rRNA from 1 species
UACGUAGGGGGCCAGCGUUGUCCGGAAUCAUUGGGCGUAAAGCGCGCGUAGGCGGCCAGAUAAGUCCGGUGUGAAAGUCAAAGGCUCAACCUUUGAAUGCCGCUGGAAACUGCCUGGCUUGAGUCCGGAAGGGGCGAGUGGAAUUCCUGGUGUAGCGGUGAAAUGCGCAGAUAUCAGGAGGAACACCGGUGGCGAAGGCGGGUCUCUGGGCCGAUGACUGACGCUGAGGAGCGAAAGCGUGGGGAGCGAACAGG